ACGAACGCUGGCGGCGUGCUUAACACAUGCAAGUCGAACGGAAAGGCCCUGCUUGCAGGGUACUCGAGUGGCGAACGGGUGAGUAACACGUGGGUGAUCUGCCCUGCACUUCGGGAUAAGCCUGGGAAACUGGGUCUAAUACCGGAUAGGAGCCAUUUUUAGUGUGAUGGUUGGAAAGUUUUUUCGGUGUAGGAUGAGCUCGCGGCCUAUCAGCUUGUUGGUGGGGUAAUGGCCUACCAAGGCGGCGACGGGUAGCCGGCCUGAGAGGGUGGACGGCCACAUUGGGACUGAGAUACGGCCCAGACUCCUACGGGAGGCAGCAGUGGGGAAUAUUGCACAAUGGGCGCAAGCCUGAUGCGGCGACGCCGCGUGGGGGAUGACGGCCUUCGGGUUGUAAACUCCUUUCGCUAGGGACGAAGCUUUUUGUGACGGUACCUAGAUAAGAAGCACCGGCUAACUACGUG
rnacentral:rRNA from 1 species